UACGUAGGGAGCGAGCGUUGUUCGGAAUUAUUGGGCGUAAAGGGCAUGUAGGCGGUAAUGCAAGUCUGGUGUGAAAUGCCGGGGCUCAACCCCGGAACUGCGUUGGAAACUGCAUUACUUGAGUCACUGAGGGGCAGCCAGAAUUCCAGGUGUAGGGGUGAAACCUGUAGAUAUCUGGAAGAAUACCAAUGGCGAAGGCAGGCUGCCAGCAGAUGACUGACGCUGAGGUGCGAAGGUGCGGGGAGCAAAC
rnacentral:rRNA from 1 species